GAUGAACGCUGGCGGCGUGCCUAAUACAUGCAAGUCGAGCGAACGGACGAGAAGCUUGCUUCUCUGAUGUUAGCGGCGGACGGGUGAGUAACACGUGGAUAACCUACCUAUAAGACUGGGAUAACUUCGGGAAACCGGAGCUAAUACCGGAUAAUAUUUUGAACCGCAUGGUUCAAAAGUGAAAGACGGUUUUGCUGUCACUUAUAGGUGGAUCCGCGCUGCAUUAGCUAGUUGGUAAGGUAACGGCUUACCAAGGCAACGAUGCAUAGCCGACCUGAGAGGGUGAUCGGCCACACUGGAACUGAGACACGGUCCAGACUCCUACGGGAGGCAGCAGUAGGGAAUCUUCCGCAAUGGGCGAAAGCCUGACGGAGCAACGCCGCGUGAGUGAUGAAGGUCUUCGGAUCGUAAAACUCUGUUAUUAGGGAAGAACAUAUGUGUAAGUAACUGUGCACAUCUUGACGGUACCUAAUCAGAAAGCCACGGCUAACUACGUG
rnacentral:rRNA from 1 species